CAGAAACUGGCAGGUCCUGUGGUCUGUCUUGUGGAAGCUGGAGAUCAGAGAGGCCAGUGUACAGCCUGGAUGCCUGGCGGUCAGGGGUUAAUGGUGCAGUUUCUAGGAGUGUCAAAGGGUAUGGGGAUGAACACCUGCAUUAGCCAGAAGCCCUUCAGCUUCGAGCUGGGCCAGCAAUCUCCGCUUACCUGCUAUGAUAGAACUUGAGACGAAUGCGACAGGUACCGAAUAUCAGGUUGUCUGUCGUCAGUUCCGAUGGCGGGUCCUCGCCUGCCAGCGCUCUACACCUGACCUACAGUGUGGCCUGAAGUAUGUCAGUGGCGUGUUCCAAUGCGGUGAUCCGGAAGGCCCCAGGCUGCUUUGAGUAAAACUGGUUGGGUUUGGAACCAGGGCGGGGCGUAUCUUCUUGGCACCACAGCCUGACACUCAUUCAAUCUGGAAGGGGGUCACCCUCUGGAACCUUCUGUCCUGAAUUGAGUUCUCCCUGUGCCUCAGGUUCUCCCAUAGUUGCUGCCACCAGUUGCUCUGUCACCUUCCACCCAUGAUGUACUCUAAGGGAAGUGGCCCAUCCUGGUUCCCAGGAGUCUCAUGUUCCCUGGUUCUGAGCCCAGUGAGUUUUGCUUUAAGCGGUUUCCUUGGGGCCAAGGUCCCCUCAUUCUGAGGUACUUUAUUCUUCUGUCACCACGCCUGCUUUGACUCACUGCUGGACCAUCCGAGUUAUCUGGCCGCAGGGGUCUCCUAACUUCCCUUAGCUUUUGUGUUUACUUGUUUAUUUGGUGCGCCAUCAGCUUCCUCUUAGCAGAGCACCCACCCCUAGCAUUACGGGUUUCCUCUUAGUGGAGUACCUGCCUCUAACGUUAUGGGUUUCCUCUUAGCGGAGCACCCACCCCUAGCGUUAAGGGUUUCCUCUGAGUGGAGUACCCGCCUCUAACGUUAUGGGUUAAGUUGGUUGGUCCACUCCUUGAGCCAACAGCAGAAGUGGAUGUGAUAGAGCGAGCGCUGGUUCUGACGCACACAGGCCUUCUGUACAACAAGACGUUUGGCUCUUACACCACCUGUAAAGAACUAUGUCCUGUCAUUGUCCGUAUGUAGAUAACUGUAGCCAACACUGCUUGUGCCCAACCAUGACUGAGACCAUGGACCCUGUGAACACGGAGGGGCCUAGGUUCUGACUCCACAGUCCUCCACAUUCCAAGGCCACUCCGAGUACCCAGACGUGUUGAUGGUUUGCCACGGCAACACAACUGUGGCUUUAUGAAAAACUGCACAAAGCACCAGAGCUACAAAACCAUCCAGUCAUACACACUGCGGGCUUCGCACUUAAAAGGACUGGAGUCGGUGAGAGGAAGACAUGUUCUCCCGUGCUCAUCACAGCCUUCUUCACAGCGACCUAUACAUGAAAAGAAUGUGUUUAUUGAUGAAUAAAGGGGUGUGUACACACAGCAGUCACGACUCUGCCUUACAGAAGGAAUCCUUUGUGACUGUAUGGGUGUAUGCAGAAGGCAUUAUUUUAUUUAGGUGAUACUGACUAACCUCACUCAUGUGAAGUCUGCAGCCUCAGGAUGUCUCUGGUUUCUAGGAGCUGAGAGUGUUCUGGGGAAACGGUGGUGACAGCAUAUAAAGCUUCAGUUGGAUGGGAACUCUCCACUCUAGACUGUUGCCUGGUGCUCUCAUAAGAGCUGCAGAUGACCGAAGCCCCCUCUGAAAUGUUCUACCACAAACUCAGGUAUGGAUGUGGGUGACUGGUAUGCUAACUAGCGCCAUGUGCUGAGUUCAUAAUGUAAACACGCAGCAGAAGAGCAUGCAGGGCCCUGAAAUGCAUGCAAUCUGCCCAGUAUCCCCAACUGGUAGGCCUGCUUCAGUGCAGUCUCACCUGGGCCUGGGCUUCAUCACUUCAGGGAUGGUCCCGGUCCUAGUUCUACAGAGGAAUAGGCCAGUGGUGACUUCUCCAGACACACAUGUUGAGGCUAUAAUGUCUGUCUUUCUUGCAGUUACUAUCUUCUAUGUUCUUAGUAGAUGCAGGAGGGUAGGGUGGAGGCCCUGUCAUCCAUUCUCAGUUCUGUUCACAUCUCAGAGGACGACUGUAAAACCCUGGACUCAUCAUUUGAUGAAGGAUUGCUACUCUGUACCAGGCUUCCCUCUGUUCAAUUAUCCCCGAGUGUUUGGUGGAAAUUCCUAUUUGAAGAUUAAUAUUAAAUCUAAAAAGUAAAGCAUAAAGUAUGAGCAUAGUUAGCAAUCAUGAAAUUAACAGAGACAAUUUGUGUUGGCACAUAAAUUACAUGUAUAUGUGUUAUGAAUAAAUACACGUGUGUAUAUACAUAUAUGUAUUUAUGCACACAUACAACCAGUUGACUGCAUUUUGUGUGGUUUGUAUGUAUAUGUUUUUAGGACUAACAUGAGAAUUGGAAAGUUCAUUUCUGUGGAAUAUUACCCUCUCAGUAAUUGUUGAUUGCCUGAAGUUCUUCAUCUAGAAGUAGGGCUCCAUGGCAUGUCAGCUGGCAUUGUCAUUGGUCAGGUCUUGUUUGAGCAGCUAUACUGUUGAGAUUUCAUGAGUGCAGCUCCCCUGUUAUAUAUAAAAAAAAAACCCAUGAUUUUACAGUAUAUCUUUUAAUAAAUGAUGUAGAAAACAGUAUCUUUAGGUACAGUUAAAACGCUUGUGAACUACAUGAGAUCAUUGUAGAUGUUCUCAUAAACAGUUUUAAAAUAUUUUACAUGUAUGUAUCCAAUGUAUUUGAGUGUUUUGCCUGAUUCAUUUGCCAUGUGCAUACAGUGCCUGCAGAGGCCAGGAGAGGAGCCGGAUCCCCAGGAACUGGAGUUAUGAAUGCCAGCUGCCAUGUGAGCCCUGAGAACCAAGCCAGGCCCUUCUAGAAGAGUAGCCAGUGCUCUUAACCGCUGAGCCAUCUCUCCAGCCCCAGUUGCUUUCUCUUUGAAAAGAAAUACUCCUUUAAUUUAAAUUGCCUUCAGCUUCAUGUAUAAAUUAAAUAUAUCAUGCAGGCUUAAGAAUAAAUGUCUUUAUUCCUACUGAUUUUUUCAGGUUAGUAAUUUCAAGAAUUCAGAAAAAUACUAAAACUUAGUAAAUCAUUUUACUAUUCAUGAAUUUUUUACAUGUGUUAUUUGUAAUAGUAAUAAAAUAACAAAUGCAAGAUUAAUGGUUUUCUGGGGAUGUAGUUCACUUGGUAGAGCAUAUGCCUAGCAUGCAGGAAGACCUGUUUUGGAUCCCAGCACCACAUAAAGCAGAUGAUGGCUCAUGCCUGUGACCCCCAGCACUCUGGAGGUGGAAACAGAAAGAUUAGCAGUUCAAAGUUACCCUUGGCUAGAUAGAAAAUUCUUUUGGGAUCAUCCUGGGCUACAUGAGACCCUUUCUCCAAAGAUAAACAAACAAUAAACAAGUCUGAGAAAUA